rnacentral:rRNA from 1 species
GACGAACGCUGGCGGCGUGCCUAAUACAUGCAAGUCGAACGAGAGCGCCCGGUGCUUGCACUGGUCAAUCUAGUGGCGAACGGGUGAGUAACACGUGGGUAACCUGCCCAUCAGAGGGGGAUAACAUUCGGAAACGGAUGCUAAAACCGCAUAGGUCUUCGAACCGCAUGGUUUGAAGAGGAAAAGAGGCGCAAGCUUCUGCUGAUGGAUGGACCCGCGGUGCAUUAGCUAGUUGGUGAGGUAACGGCUCACCAAGGCCGUGAUGCAUAGCCGACCUGAGAGGGUGAUCGGCCACAUUGGGACUGAGACACGGCCCAAACUCCUACGGGAGGCAGCAGUAGGGAAUCUUCCGCAAUGGACGCAAGUCUGACGGAGCAACGCCGCGUGAGUGAAGAAGGUUUUCGGAUCGUAAAACUCUGUUGUUAGAGAAGAACAAGUGCUAGAGUAACUGUUAGCGCCUUGACGGUAUCUAACCAGAAAGCCACGGCUAACUACGUG